rnacentral:lncRNA from 1 species
AACUAUUCUUCAGCUUCUGGGAUGGGAGAGUAAUUUAUGUAUUUACUAUAGAAUAAAAAAAGAGUAAUUAAGGCUGUGCAAUAGCCAUUUCCAAUCCUGGAUUAUUUAAAAAAAAAAAAACCCCGAGUUCUAGGUAACCAGGGAAGUUCAGGUAUCAGUUUUUUUCUUCCAAAACAGGUAGUACGUACGUACAGUCUCGGAGACAUCGAUCGUGCUCUGAUCUCUUUAUCUUACAUGAACACACAGUAGCGUGUAAAUAUGAAUUUAAUGCCAUAAAAAGCCAAACCCACGAGUGUAACCUUCAAACCAAACAAAGAGGCAGAGAGAGGAAACAAGAGAACCAAGGCCUUUUGACUUUACUUGAUUGAUUAGACCCGAUCCGUCCUUGUAAGAUCCACCAUCUCUACUCCAAAUCCCUGCUUGUCUCUAUCAAACGUCAACCCCUCACCCCUCGAGAAAAUGUCAAAUACCUUGUGGGGUCGCAACACUACUUUACUCCCUGCCUGACUGGUAUUGCCCACCACACAACACCGUCCCUUGGUUGCGGUGUCUAGCCCGGAAGGCAUGUCUUGAGCCUUCUACUCAAACAAGAUAAAUUUACGUGCUCAUCACAGUAACAACAAUAUAUAUUUGUACAUAUAUAUAUAUGAUUGUGUUACUGUGGUUGAUGCCAAUCGGUCUGAUGUCUAGCAACAUUUAAGUAAGACGACUCGUAUAUAUAGCAAGUUUGGCAG